rnacentral:rRNA from 1 species
GCCUACGGGGCGCAGCAGUGGGGAAUAUUGCACAAUGGGGGAAACCCUGAUGCAGCGACGCCGCGUGAAGGAAGAAGUAUUUCGGUAUGUAAACUUCUAUCAGCAGGGAAGAAAAUGACGGUACCUGACUAAGAAGCCCCGGCUAACUACGUGCCAGCAGCCGCGGUAAUACGUAGGGGGCAAGCGUUGUUCGGAAUGACUGGGCGUAAAGGGUGUGUAGGCGGUGUAGCAAGUUAGAAGUGAAAUACCUAGAGCUUAACUCAGGUGCUGCUUCUAAAACUGCUAUACUUGAUUGCAGUAGAGGG